AGAGUUUGAUCCUGGCUCAGGGUUAACGCUGGCGGCGUGCCUAACACAUGCAAGUCGAACGGUUCUAAGCGCGAGCUUAGGAUAGUGGCGAACGGGUGAGUAAAAGGUAGGAAUCUACCCCUUGGACGGAGAUAGCUACUGGAAACGGUAGGUAAACUUCGAUAAGCCCGAGAGGGGAAAGUGGUGAGACAGCCGAGGGAUGAGCCUACUCUCCAUCAGGUAGUUGGUGAGAUAAAAGCUUACCAAGCCGAUGACGGAUAACCGGUGUGAGAGCAUGAACGGUCACAAGGGCACUGAGAGACGGGCCCUACUCCUACGGGAGGCAGCAGUGGGGAAUCUUGGACAAUGGGCGAAAGCCUGAUCCAGCGACGCCGCGUGGAGGAAGAAGUCCUUCGGGAUGUAAACUUCUGAACUAGCCGAAUAAAAGGCCUGUGGACACACAGGAGAAGAAAGUAGGCUAGGAAAAGUCCCGGCUAACUACGUGCCAGCAGCCGCGGUAAUANUCCCGCGGCCANGGCGGCCNGAGC
rnacentral:rRNA from 1 species